rnacentral:rRNA from 1 species
UGCGAUMCCUAGUGUGAAUUGCAGAAUUCCGCGAAUCAUCGAGUUUUUGAACGCAUAUUGCGCCCGAGGUUCACGCCGAGGGCACGUCUGUCUGAGCGUCA